CAGCAGCCGCGGUAAUACGUAGGGUGCGAGCGUUAAUCGGAAUUACUGGGCGUAAAGCGUGCGCAGGCGGUUUUGUAAGACAGGCGUGAAAUCCCCGGGCUCAACCUGGGAAUGGCGCUUGUGACUGCAAAGCUAGAGUGCGGCAGAGGGGGAUGGAAUUCCGCGUGUAGCAGCGAAAUGCGUAGAUAUGCGGAGGAACACCGAUGGCGAAGGCAAUCCCCUGGGCCUGCACUGACGCUCAUGCACGAAAGCGUGGGGAGCAAACAGGAUUAGAUACCCCCGUAGUCCCUGUCUCUUAUAC
rnacentral:rRNA from 1 species